GACGUAGGGUGCAAGCGUUAUCCGGAUUCAUUGGGCGUAAAGUGUUGCGUAGGCUGAUUUGCGCAUUUCACUUAAAAGCCCGUGGCUCAACCACGGUUUUGGGUGAAAUAUGGCAAAUCUAGUAGGAUAGAGAGGGUACUGGAACUCAACAUGUAGCAGUGAAAUGCGUUGAUAUGUUGAGGAACACCAAAGGCGUAGGCAGGUACCUGGCUAUUUCUAGACGCUGAGGCACGAAAGCUUGGGGAGCGAAGCAG
rnacentral:rRNA from 1 species